AGCUCCAAUAGCGUAUAUUAAAGUUGUUGCGGUUAAAAGCUCGUAGUUGGAUUUCUGUGGAGGACGGCCGGUCCGCAUUUUGUGCGUGUAUCUGGUACGGCCUUUGCAUCCUCUUGUGGAACGUUACGGUGCUUGAUUGCAUUGUGCGGAAUGCAAGACUUUUACUUUGAGGAAAUUAGAGUGUUCACGGCAGGCAUGCGCCUUGAAUAUAUUAGCAUGGAAUAAUAAUAUAGGCUCCUCGCCCUAUUUUGUUGGUUUCUAGAGCGAAGAGAAUGGUUAAUAGGGAUAAUUGGGGGCACUCGUACUAGAGCGUCAGAGGUGGAAUUCUUAGAUUGCUCUAUGACGAACUACUGCGAAAGCAUUUGCCAAGGAUGUUUUCA
rnacentral:rRNA from 1 species